rnacentral:lncRNA from 1 species
GAAAUUUUUAAAAAGAUCUUUUUUUUUUCUCCUAGAGAGUUUUUUGUCCACUCUGUUUUUCAACACUUAACUGAGAAAACACAGUGACUACAAAGGGCAACAAGUUCCCAGGCCAGUGGAAGGAAUUAAUGUGUGUCCAAAUAAUUGCAGUGUAAUAGCACAUCUGCAUAUAUCGGAGACAUUGGAAGCUAUGAAUGCACAGAAGAAAAAUGUCCAACUCUGCCUAAUAAACUUACUAAUAAGAAGAAUAGAAGAAAAACGAUAUUUGUGAACCAAAAAGUCAGUGACUGAAGAUGAGCGAAUGUAAACAAUUUGGUGAUUGAACAGGAAAGGAUGAAUGUGAGAGCCUGCAGACUACACAGAAGAAAGGAGAUGAUACAGAUUGGAGAAGAAAGGUGUCUGAAGACAUAGAUAGGAUGCUCUUUCUGAAUUGCUCCAGACAGCAUUUUUUCUUCCCAGCCUACACAGGAAAGGAUAGAGGAUACUGAAUCUCCUAUCAUUGGCUUUAUGUGGACUGGGAGACUCCUUUUUCCUUCCUUCAGGAAACGUUGAGGCAUUGGUCAACCAGGAAACAACCACAGGAGCCCAGGGCCCAGGUCUACUUUGUGUGUCUUGGCGAUCAUUCCGGUGGGCCAAACUUCCCCGCCUGCACGUGAAAGCCGGCUCCCCCCUGACCCGGAAGUCCACUUUCGAGUUGCACGUGUGGCUUCUCUUAUACACAAAUUUUCUUCCAUCUCUGCCACCCCUGAGACAGCAAGACUGCUACCUUAUUUUCCUCCUCCUCCUUAGCCUACUCAACAUGAAGAUGAUGAGGAUGACCACCUUUAGGAUGAUCCAUUUCCACCUAAUGACUGGUAAAUAAAUUUUUUCUUCCUUAAAAUUUUCUUAAUAUUUUCUUUUCUUUAGUUUACUUUAUUAUAAGUAUAUAACAUAUAUAAUACAAAAUAUGUGUUAAUAGACUGUUUAUGUUAUUGUUAAGAAUUCCAGUCAACAGUAGGCUAUUAGUAGUUAAGUUUUUGCAUAGUCAAAAGUCAUACACAAAAUUUCAGCUGCAUGUGGGAACAGCACCUCUAACCCCCACACUGUUCAAGAGUCAACUGUAAUUGGAUUAAUAUCUGCCAUAUCUGUAACUAUUUUCUCUUUAUUGAAUUUCUUAUUUCUUUUUGCCCCUUCUUUUCCUGCAUUUACUGGUUUAACUGAGCAUUUUAUAUGAUUUCAUUUUAUCUUCUCUCUUCAUGUAUAAAUCAUACUGUUUUUUUAAAAUUGUGGUUUUCCCUAGAUUUUAAGAUAUGAGUUUUAAAAUAAUCUACGUCUGCCUUCAAAUAAUGCUAUUGCACUUCAAAUGUAGUGAAGGUUCCCUACAGAAUAGUAUUCCCAGUUCUUCCUUUCUGUCCCUUGUGACAUUGCUGCCAUUCAUUUAAUUUAACCAUUUGCUAUAAUCACCCAAAACAUUAAUAACAUACUAUCAUUUCUUUAUACAAACUAUUAUUUUUUAGAUCACUUGAUAAUUAAAAAACUUUAUUUUACUUUCCUUUAUUACUUCUCUAAUUCUCUUCCUUUCUUUAUAUAGUAGACUCAAGUUUCUGACCUUUCUCAUUUUCCUUCUGCUUGAAGAAUUUCUUUUAAUAUUUUUUGUAGGUCAGUUUGCUAGGAAUGAAUAUCUUCAGUUUUUGUUUGUCUUAGAAAGUCUUUCUUCUUCACUUUUGAAGGACAAAGUUUGCUGGGUAUAGAAUUCCAGGAUGGUGGAAUUUAUUCUUGCAAUGCUUUAAAUUUUUUACUUUACUCUCUUGCUUCUCUGGUUUCUAAUAAGUCCACUGUAAUUCUUACCUUUGCUUUUCUGGCUUAUUUCCUGUCGUCUGGCUUCUUCUAAAAGAUUUUCUCUGUGACUUUGGUUUCCUGCAGUUUGAAUAUGGUAUGCCUAGAUAGGGGUUUUUAAAAGUAUUUAUUCAUCUUGGUGUUAUCUGUGCUUCCUGAAUUUGUAGUUUGGUAACUGUAUUAAUUUUCCAGGGCUGCCAUAACAAAUUACCUAUCACAAACUGAGCCAUUGAUAACAACAGAAAUGUAUUCCCUCGCAGUUCUGGAGGCUGGAAGUCUGAAAUGCAGCUGUUAGCAGGGCCAUGCUCCCUCUGAAACUUCUCUGGGGAGAGAAUCCUUAUUUGCCUCUUCCAGCAUCUGGUUGCUGGCUAUCCUUGGCAUUCCUUGCUGAUAGCUGCAUCAUUUCAAUUUCUGCCUCUAUCUUCACAUGGCCAUCUUUCCUCUGUGUGUGUCUAUGUCAUCACAUUACCUUCUUAUAAGGAUAGCAUUCAUUGGAUUUAGGGCCCACCCAAAUCCAGUAUGACUUCUUCUGAACUAAUUACAUCCACAAAGACCCUAUUUUCAAGUAAGGUCACAUUCUGGGGUUCUGCAUGGAAAUUAAUUGGGGUGGUGCAGUCUUCAAGCCCGUACAGUGUCUGUC